UACGUAGGGUGCAAGCGUUUGUCCGGAAUUAUUGGGCGUAAAGAGCUCGUAGGCGGUUUGUCGCGUCGAAUGUGAAAACCCGGGGCUCAACCCCGGGCCUGCAUUCGAUACGGGCAGACUAGAGUUCGAUAGGGGAGUCUGGAAUUCCUGGUGUAGCGGUGAAAUGCGCAGAUAUCAGGAGGAACACCGGUGGCGAAGGCGGGACUCUGGGCCGAUACUGACGCUGAGGAGCGAAAGCGUGGGGAGCGAACAGG
rnacentral:rRNA from 1 species